rnacentral:rRNA from 1 species
GUUAUAAGUCUGUAUAAGACUUGGGCAUAGUUUAUUCCAGGGAUCUGUUCAAGACUACUUUGCAGAGCACCAAGGGUGUUUCUAUCAGUCGAGAUAGGGAUCAAAACAAUCAGAUAUUGUAGUAGUUCAAUGUGAGAAUGUGCGGUUAGGAUUGGACGGCACUACCAUCCAGUACUAUGAGAAUCAAAGUUAUUAGGUUCAGUGAGUCGUGCAGCCUGAACGUAAGAAAUUACAGAAAGACAACCAGAGGGAGGGGAGCGGGGGCCUCAUCCGCCUCACCACGGGAAACUUAACAAGAUACCAAGACAUAGGGAGGGGAUGGCAUUUAUGACUGGAGCACUCUCCGUCCUGUUGGUGGAAUUAUUUGUCUGGUUAAAUUCCGAUACGAACGAGACCUUAACCUGCUAAUUAGUCGUCCCCCAUUUUAUGGGAUAUGACUUCUUAGAGGGACUAUGCAUAUCAAGUACAAGAGAGAUAAGAGGCAAUAACAGGUCUGUGAUGCCCUUAUAUGUCCUGGGCUGCACGCGUGCUACACUGAUGCAUACAACAAGUGCCUAGCUAGACAUAGUAUGGCAAUCUGGAAUAUGCAUCGUGAUGGGGAUAGAUCUUUGCAAUUAUAGAUCUUGAACAAGGAAUUCCUAGUAAGUGCAAGUCAUCAUCUUUCAUUGAUUAUGUCCCUGCCCUGGGUAAACGAGAGAGACAAGUCGCUCCUACCGAUACCGGGUGAUCCGGUGAACUUGGACUAGG